rnacentral:lncRNA from 1 species
GUGACUUUUGACACAACCGGUCAUUUUAGUGAAGGAGCCAUAAGAAAGAGAAGCCUGGAAGGACUAAAGCUGCAAGAACAGGAGCACGAUCAAAAAAGGGGGGGAGGGGGAAGAGAGAGGGUUGAAAGAAAAAGACGUGGUGAUGGAAAGAAGUUCAAGAGAGAAAAAAGAAAGCUAAGCUGGAGAGGAGAGAAGAGAGGCAGAUAGAUGGAGAUGAGAAACAUCCCCCAAAGCAGCGGAAGGUACCAGCUGAAGAGCAGCAGUGGCCAGAGAAUAUGCCUGAAUGGGAAGAAAGGAAAUCCCUGCUAGCUCAGAGAAGAGUGGAGUCUGUCAGACUGCUUACAGUCCUGUUAAACCGUGUGAAAGAUUUUGCACAGUUGGCAAGUCAAAAAGUGGAUCCUUCAUUGGGCGUAAGGAAGGAUGAUUCCUUUUCUGAAACAGCGUUAAAAGACAUACAUCAGGAGCUAGUUAACUCCUAUAUUUAUACACACAAAGACGUGGAACAUAAGGAGGAGUUUAAGUGCCCGCAAACCCAAAAAGGUGGCAGGAUACGUAGUGAGGAAGGAGAUGUGAGUAACCUCCAUGCAUCUACUUGCCAUAUAGUCAGGACGAUUGUAAACGAUCCCUCUCCAGCCCCGAGUUCUGAUGCGCUGCCCGGCAGAGACACCAGCAACCCCUUUGGCUGUGGACCUUUACUGAUCACCGUUACACAGGACGGCAGGGUCAUCAAAUCUCUCGAUGGAAGGGACAACCCAGCCCUGGAUGUAGUUCACACACAGACAGUGUCUGAUGAAGAAGGUUGCAAAAAGCCAAAGGUUUAUGAGACUGAUGAGUUCAUCCAUUAUUUACUAAACUACUAUCAGACACCAGGCUAUGCACGUGUUUGCCCAGAGCCAAAAACCACUGCACAUGAGCGCUGGUGGAAGAGAGUGGUGUCUGAUGAGGAUAGUGAUAUUGACAUCAGCUUGAGUGGCAAACACGUACAGCACUUCAGAGGAGUGAGUCCUGUACAAAACCUCACCAAGAAAAACUGUAAUCACGACAAUAACUGUAGACUGGUGAUCACUGUUGGGGAACUUGAGUCAACAGAUACGCUGUUAGAAAACAGGACCCAGGGGGGUAGGUUUGCAAAAAAGUUGCAAGUGCAGGGGAAUCACUCACUGACUUCUGAUAAGUUACCACUUGCUGGACUGAAUCAUUCAUUGGAUUGCACUGCUGUUAGUCAUGACAAGGAAUUCAAACAAGAAGAUGGUAGUGAUGAAAGUACCGUAGCGCUCAAGGCACGUAGGUCUGCUUGCAGAUUAAAGGAUUUGUUGGAAGACAUCAGUGAUUCCAAGUACUCUAGAGAGGCACGUAGCAGCUUAAUGAAGAGAACAGAAAGAAGGUGUGAAGAAAUUUACACCAAUUAUAAUAAAGGGUGCUUGCCUGCCAGAGCCAGGGAAAGACAAUUACUGGUUUAUCUUGAAAAUGUAACUCUGGAAGGUCAAGAGAAGGCAAGCAGCAAAUGUAGCUUCUGCUCGAAUUCUGUCUACGAGGGCUUUGGAAGGCAGUGUGAACAUAAGCUUAAAAAGUCAUGCAAGAGGUCUAGUAGUAAAUUAAGAUGUGAAGGACAGAAAAGUGAGAGACAAUCCAGAGAAGAGGAGAGAGAUGCUCACAAAAUGAAGAAAAAACGAAAAAAGCUUUCUUCUAAUCUUUUAUCUGAUGAAUGUGGCUUUUCAGAGACGGACACUUGUGUGCAGCUGGAGUCACUCAGAAAGAUACAAAGAAAAUGUAAGAAAAUGCUCCACAACAAAGUGAAAUUAAAGACACUUCACACCGCUAUGGCAACACCAGAUGUUACCCCUCAUGGUGGCUCACCACUUCAGGAGACCCUCCAGAGGACAGGAGACGAGAGGAAAUUAAUCUUGAGAAGAGAGAUGGAUGCAGAUGUCAGAGGAUGCCCUCUUUUUCCUCUUGAGAUAAUUCAGACAAACCCCUGCCCAGAUACUUUCUGUGGAGCAGAGCCCAGAAGAGGAUGCUGA